rnacentral:rRNA from 1 species
GAUGAACGCUGGCGGCGUGCCUAAUACAUGCAAGUCGAGCGAACAGACGAGGAGCUUGCUCCUCUGACGUUAGCGGCGGACGGGUGAGUAACACGUGGAUAACCUACCUAUAAGACUGGGAUAACUUCGGGAAACCGGAGCUAAUACCGGAUAAUAUAUUGAACCGCAUGGUUCAAUAGUGAAAGACGGUUUUGCUGUCACUAAUAGAUGGAUCCGCGCCGCAUUAGCUAGUUGUUAAGUUAACGGCUUACCAAGGCAACGAUGCGUAGCCGACCUGAGAGGGUGAUCGGCCGCACUGGAACUGAGACACGGUCCAGACUCCUACGGGAGGCAGCAGUAGGGAAUCGUACGCAAUGGGCGAGAGCCUGACGGAGCAACGCCGCGUGAGUGAUGAAGGUCUUCGGAUCGUGAAGCUCUGUUAUUAGGGAAGAACAAAUGUGUAAGUAACUAUGCACGUCUUGACGGUACCUAAUCAGAAAGCCACGGCUAACUACGUG